rnacentral:rRNA from 1 species
UCGGGGAACGAUAACGGCGUCGAGCGGCGGACGGGUGAGUAAUGCCUAGGAAAUUGCCUUGAUGUGGGGGAUAACCAUUGGAAACGAUGGCUAAUACCGCAUGAUGCCUACGGGCCAAAGAGGGGGACCUUCGGGCCUCUCGCGUCAAGAUAUGCCUAGGUGGGAUUAGCUAGUUGGUGAGGUAAUGGCUCACCAAGGCGACGAUCCCUAGCUGGUCUGAGAGGAUGAUCAGCCACACUGGAACUGAGACACGGUCCAGACUCCUACGGGAGGCAGCAGUGGGGAAUAUUGCACAAUGGGCGCAAGCCUGAUGCAGCCAUGCCGCGUGUAUGAAGAAGGCCUUCGGGUUGUAAAGUACUUUCAGCAGUGAGGAAGGGGGUGUCGUUAAUAGCGGCAUCUCUUGACGUUAGCUGCAGAAGAAGCACCGGCUAACUCCGUGCCAGCAGCCGCGGUAAUACGGAGGGUGCGAGCGUUAAUCGGAAUUACUGGGCGUAAAGCGCAUGCAGGUGGUUUGUUAAGUCAGAUGUGAAAGCCCGGGGCUCAACCUCGGAACUGCAUUUGAAACUGGCAAACUAGAGUACUGUAGAGGGGGGUAGAAU